rnacentral:rRNA from 1 species
UGGGGAAUAUUGCACAAUGGGGGAAACCCUGAUGCAGCGACGCCGCGUGAAGGAAGAAGUAUCUCGGUAUGUAAACUUCUAUCAGCAGGGAAGAUAAUGACGGUACCUGACUAAGAGGCCCCGGCUAACUACGUGCCAGCAGCCGCGGUAAUACGUAGGGGGCAAGCGUUAUCCGGAUUUACUGGGUGUAAAGGGAGCGUAGGCGGCGGAGCAAGUCAGAAGUGAAAGCCCGGGGCUCAACCCCGGGACGGCUUUUGAAACUGCCCUGCUUGAUUUCAGGAGAGGUAAGCGGAAUUCCUAGUGUAGCGGUGAAAUGCGUAGAUAUUAGGAGGAACACCAGUGGCGAAGGCGGCUUACUGGACUGACAAUGACGCUGAGGCUCGAAAGCGUGGGGAGCAAACAGG